GUGUCAACCGCCGCGGUAAUACGUAGGGGGCAAGCGUUGUCCGGAAUUAUUGGGCGUAAAGCGCGCGCAGGCGGUCUUUUAAGUCUGAUGUGAAAUCUCGUGGCUUAACCGCGAGCGGCCAUUGGAAACUGGGGGACUUGAGUACAGAAGAGGAGAGUGGAAUUCCACGUGUAGCGGUGAAAUGCGUAGAUAUGUGGAGGAACACCAGUGGCGAAGGCGACUCUCAGGUCUGUAACUGACGCUGAGGCGCGAAAGCGUGGGGAGCGAACAGGAUUAGAAACCCCUGUAGUCC
rnacentral:rRNA from 1 species